AUUGAACGCUGGCGGCAGGCUUAACACAUGCAAGUCGAGCGGGGAAAKGUAGCUUGCUACMUWACCUAGCGGCGGACGGGUGAGUAAUGCUUAGGAAUCUGCCUAUUAGUGGGGGACAACAUCUCGAAAGGGAUGCUAAUACCGCAUACGUCCUACGGGAGAAAGCAGGGGACCUUCGGGCCUUGCGCUAAUAGAUGAGCCUAAGUCGGAUUAGCUAGUUGGUGGGGUAAAGGCCUACCAAGGCGACGAUCUGUAGCGGGUCUGAGAGGAUGAUCCGCCACACUGGGACUGAGACACGGCCCAGACUCCUACGGGAGGCAGCAGUGGGGAAUAUUGGACAAUGGGGGGAACCCUGAUCCAGCCAUGCCGCGUGUGUGAAGAAGGCCUUUUGGUUGUAAAGCACUUUAAGCGAGGAGGAGGCUACCGAGAUUAAUACUCUUGGAUAGUGGACGUUACUCGCAGAAUAAGCACCGGCUAACUCUGUGCCAGCAGCCGCGGUAAUACAGAGGGUGCAAGCGUUAAUCGGAUUUACUGGGCGUAAAGCGCGCGUAGGUGGCCAAUUAAGUCAAAUGUGAAAUCCCCGAGCUUAACUUGGGAAUUGCAUUCGAUACUGGUUGGCUAGAGUAUGGGAGAGGAUGGUAGAAUUCCAGGUGUAGCGGUGAAAUGCGUAGAGAUCUGGAGGAAUACCGAUGGCGAAGGCAGCCAUCUGGCCUAAUACUGACACUGAGGUGCGAAAGCAUGGGGAGCAAACAGGAUUAGAUACCCUGGUAGUCCAUGCCGUAAACGAUGUCUACUAGCCGUUGGGGCCUUUGAGGCUUUAGUGGCGCAGCUAACGCGAUAAGUAGACCGCCUGGGGAGUACGGUCGCAAGACUAAAACUCAAAUGAAUUGACGGGGGCCCGCACAAGCGGUGGAGCAUGUGGUUUAAUUCGAUGCAACGCGAAGAACCUUACCUGGUCUUGA
rnacentral:rRNA from 1 species